rnacentral:rRNA from 1 species
GGCCAGUGAAUUAGAACUCGGUACGCGCGGAUCUUCCAGAGAUUGUAGUCAUAUGCUUGUCUCAAAGAUUAAGCCAUGCAUGUCUAAGUAUAAGCAAUUAUACAGCGAAACUGCGAAUGGCUCAUUAUAUAAGUUAUCGUUUAUUUGAUAGUACCUUACUACUUGGAUAACCGUGGUAAUUCUAGAGCUAAUACAUGCUAAAAAUCCCGACUUCGGAAGGGAUGUAUUUAUUAGAUUAAAAACCAAUGCCCUCUGGGCUCUCUGGUGAUUCAUGAUAACUUCUCGAAUCGCAUGGCCUUGUGCCGGCGAUGGUUCAUUCAAAUUUCUUCCCUAUCAACUUUCGAUGUUUGGGUAGUGGCCAAACAUGGUUGCAACGGGUGACGGAGGGUUAGGGCUCGACCCCGGAGAAGGAGCCUGAGAAACGGCUACUACAUCCAAGGAAGGCAGCAGGCGCGCAAAUUACCCAAUCCCGACACGGGGAGGUAGUGACAAUAAAUACUGAUACAGGGCUCUUUUGGGUCUUGUAAUUGGAAUGAGUACAAUUUAAAUCCCUUAACGAGGAACAAUUGGAGGGCAAGUCUGGUGCCAGCAGCCGCGGUAAUUCCAGCUCCAAUAGCGUAUAUUAAAGUUGUUGUGGUUAAAAAGCUCGUAGUUGAACCUUGGGCCUGGCUGGCCGGUCCGCCUCACCGCGUGUACUGGUCCGGCCGGGCCUUUCCCUCUGUGGAACCCCAUGCCCUUCACUGGGUGUGGCGGGGAAACAGGACUUUUACUUUGAAAAAGUUAGAGUGCUCCAGGCAGGCCUAUGCUCGAAUACAUUAGCAUGGAAUAAUAGAAUAGGACGUGUGGUUCUAUUUUGUUGGUUUCUAGGACCGCCGUAAUGAUUAAUAGGGACAGUCGGGGGCAUCAGUAUUCAAUUGUCGGAGGUGAAAUUCUUGGAUUUAUUGAAGACUAACUACUGCGAAAGCAUUUGCCAAGGAUGUUUUCAUUAAUCAGGAACGAAAGUUAGGGGAUCGAAGACGAUCAGAUACCGUCGUAGUCUUAACCAUAAACUAUGCCGACUAGGGAUCGGACGAUGUUACUUAUUGACUCGUUCGGCACCUUACGAGAAAUCAAAGUGCUUGGGCUCCAGGGGGAGUAUGGUCGCAAGGCUGAAACUUAAAGAAAUUGACGGAAGGGCACCACCAGGGGUGGAGCCUGCGGCUUAAUUUGACUCAACACGGGGAAACUCACCAGGUCCAGACACAAUGAGGAUUGACAGAUUGAGAGCUCUUUCUUGAUUUUGUGGGUGGUGGUGCAUGGCCGUUCUUAGUUGGUGGAGUGAUUUGUCUGCUUAAUUGCGAUAACGAACGAGACCUUAACCUGCUAAAUAGCCCGUAUUGCUUUGGCAGUACGCUGGCUUCUUAGAGGGACUAUCGGCUCAAGCCGAUGGAAGUUUGAGGCAAUAACAGGUCUGUGAUGCCCUUAGAUGUUCUGGGCCGCACGCGCGCUACACUGACGGAGCCCAGCGAGUACUCCCUUGGCCGGAAGGUCCGGGUAAUCUUGUUAAACUCCGUCGUGCUGGGGAUAGAGCAUUGCAAUUAUUGCUCUUCAACGAGGAAUCCCUAGUAAGCGCAAGUCAUCAGCUUGCGUUGAUUACGUCCCUGCCCUUUGUACACACCGCCCGUCGCUACUACCGAUUGAAUGGCUCAGUGAGGCGUUCGGACUGGCCCAGAGAGGUGGGAAACUACCACUCAGGGCCGGAAAGUUCUCCAAACUCGGUCAUUUAGAGGAAGUAAAAGUCGUAACAAGGUCUCCGUUGGUGAACCAGCGGAGGGAUCAUUACCGAGUUUACAAACUCCCAAACCCUUUGUGAACCUUACCAUAUUGUUGCUUCGGCGGGACCGCCCCGGCGCCUUCGGGCCCGGAACCAGGCGCCCGCCGGAGGCCCCAAACUCUUAUGUCUUUAGUGGUUUUCUCCUCUGAGUGACACAUAAACAAAUAAAUAAAAACUUUCAACAACGGAUCUCUUGGUUCUGGCAUCGAUGAAGAACGCAGCGAAAUGCGAUAAGUAAUGUGAAUUGCAGAAUUCAGUGAAUCAUCGAAUCUUUGAACGCACAUUGCGCCCGCCAGUAUUCUGGCGGGCAUGCCUGUUCGAGCGUCAUUUCAACCCUCAGGCCCCCAGUGCCUGGUGUUGGGGAUCGGCCCAGCCUUCUCGCAAGGCCGCCGGCCCCGAAAUCUAGUGGCGGUCUCGCUGUAGUCCUCCUCUGCGUAGUAGCACAACCUCGCAGUUGGAACGCGGCGGUGGCCAUGCCGUUAAACACCCCACUUCUGAAAGUUGACCUCGGAUCAGGUAGGAAUACCCGCUGAACUUAAGCAUAUCAAUAAGCGGAGGAAAUCGUCGAACGGCAGGCGUGCAAACUUGGCGUAAU